AUGUUCUCGUCGCAGUCACUCAGCCGCGUCAACAACAUCCGCACAACGGUGAUCAACACGCAGAAGGGAAAUCAAUCGGUGGCCUCCUACUUCGCCACUAUGCGGGACCUCGUCGAUGAACUCGCUGCGGCCGGCAAAGCCAUCCAGGAUGACGAGCUCAUGUCCUACAUCAUCCACAGGUUGCACCAAGAUUACCAGCCCCUGGUCUUUGCCUUGGACGCCCGCACCACUCCGGUAACCCUUGACGAGCUCUUUGCCAUGCUUAGUACUUCUGAUCAGCGCAUGGCGCAGUACCAUGGCUCCAGUGGCGGCUUCAAGUCGUCGGCAAAGAAAUAUGGAACCGAGCUGGGCUGA
rnacentral:rRNA from 1 species